ensembl:snRNA U2 U2 spliceosomal RNA
AUCGCUUCUCGGCCUUUUGGCUAAGAUCAAGUGUAGUAUCAAAUGCAAUAAACUAGGAGACGGCAUGGCCAAGUUUG